rnacentral:tRNA from 1 species
GCCGAAAAAUGGCAUGUUUUGCGCACUUGUAAUGCGAAGGUCAAGGGUUCGACUCCUUUAACCGGCACCA